rnacentral:rRNA from 1 species
CCUACGGGGGGCAGCAGUGGGGAAUAUUGCACAAUGGGCGAAAGCCUGAUGCAGCGACGCCGCGUGAGCGAAGAAGGCCUUCGGGUCGUAAAGCUCUGUUCUAUGGGAAGAAAGAUUCCGGUACCAUAGAAAGAAGCCCCGGCAAACUCGGUGCAAGCAGCGGCGGUAAUACGUAGGUGGCAAGCGUGCUCCGGAAUGACUGUGGGUAAAGGGUACGUAGGCGGGUCGAAAAGUCAGUUGUGAAAGGCAUAGCGUUAACUUGGGUAAGCAUUUGAAACUGUCUAGCUUGAGUAAAGGAGAGGAAAGUGGAAUUCCCGGUGUAGCGGUGAAAUGCGUAGAGAUCGGGAGGAAUACCAGUGGCGAAGGCGACUAUCUGGACUUAGACUGACGCUGAGGUACGAAAGCGUGGGGAGCAAACAGGAUUAGAUACCCUUGUAGUC